rnacentral:rRNA from 1 species
UACGGAGGAUGCAAGCGUUAUCCGGAUUCAUUGGGUUUAAAGGGUGCGUAGGCGGAAUAAUAAGUCAGUGGUGAAAGCCUGUGGCUUAACCAUAGAAUUGCCAUUGAUACUGUUAUUCUUGAGUAUAGUUGAAGUGGGCGGAAUGUGUAAUGUAGCGGUGAAAUGCUUAGAUAUUACACAGAACACCAAUUGCGAAGGCAGCUCACUAAGCUGUUACUGACGCUGAGGCAAGAAAGCGUGGGGAGCAAACAGG